ACUCAAAUGAAUUGACGGGGGCCCGCACAAGCGGUGGAGCAUGUGGUUCAAUUCGACGCAACGCGAAGAACCUUACCUGGGCUCGAACGGCUUCGGACCAUUCCUGGAAACAGGGACUUCCCGCAAGGGACCGGAGUCGAGGUGCUGCAUGGCUGUCGUCAGCUCGUGUCGUGAGAUGUUGGGUUAAGUCCCGCAACGAGCGCAACCCUUGUCCUGUGUUGCCACAUCGAAAGAUAGCACUCGCAGGAGACCGCCAGCGAUAAGCUGGAGGAAGGUGGGGAUGAUGUCAAGUCAUCAUGGCCUUUAUGUCCAGGGCUACACACGUGCUACAAUGGGCGGUACAAAGCGCUGCAAACCCGCGAGGGGGAGCUAAUCGCAAAAAACCGUUCUCAGUUCGGAUUGCAGGCUGCAACUCGCCUGCAUGAAGCUGGAAUCGCUAGUAAUGGCGUAUCAGAAUGAUGCCGUGAAUACGUUCCCGGGCCUUGUACACACCGCCCGU
rnacentral:rRNA from 1 species